UACGAAGGGGGCUAGCGUUGUUCGGAAUUACUGGGCUUAAAGAGUUCGUAGGCGGCAUGACAAGUAGGGUGUGAAAGCCCUCGGCUCAACCGAGGAAUUGCGCUCUAAACUGUCGUGCUAGAGGAACCUAGAGGUGAGCAGAACUGAUGGUGGAGCGGUGAAAUGCGUUGAUAUCAUCAGGAAUACCGGAGGCGAAGGCGGCUCACUGGGAGUUUUCUGACAGCUGAGGAACGGAAAGCCAGGGGAGCAAACGGG
rnacentral:rRNA from 1 species